rnacentral:rRNA from 1 species
UACAGAGGUCUCAAGCGUUGUUCGGAUUCAUUGGGCGUAAAGGGUGUGUAGGUGGCGCGCUAAGUCGGGUGUGAAAUUUCGGAGCUUAACUCCGAAACUGCAUUCGAUACUGGCGUGCUUGAGGACUGGAGAGGAGACUGGAAUUCAUGGUGUAGCAGUGAAAUGCGUAGAGAUCAUGAGGAAGACCAGUGGCGAAGGCGGGUCUCUGGACGACUCCUGACACUGAGGCACGAAAGCUAGGGGAGCAAACAGG